GGGGGACGACUAAUGCAUAGAGCGUCAUUUGGAUGAAGUGGAGUGAGUUGAGUCAGCUGCUGCUGCCUCUGCUGCAGGUAAUAUUGCAGCACAGUCACCUAUAGUGGAUAAAGAGGUGGGUGAGGGAGCUGACAGUUCUCUGACUCUGUUGUGUGGACUGUUGGUCUUCUAAAGUCACCCUGUUUGACUCAGAAUCACCAGCACAGGCGUGACGAGAUGUUUGCAGCAUCCCUGCAGCAGGUCAGAUACCUACAGCCCCAAAUGUGCAAGGUGUGUCUGACAAAACUCACUCAACACAGCAGCCUAUGCUAGUGGUAGGGCUGGGCGAUAUGGGAAAAAGUUUAUCACGAUAUAUUUUUUUUCAUAUCAGUUGAUAUCGAUAUAUGUCACGAUAUAAAAAAUUAAAUUUAACAGUGUUUAAUGGUUGUAGCGACUCCAAAGACCAACCUUGUCGCUUGAGAGGAAGGUUGAGGGUCCAGUAUUUGUCCGAUGCGCUAUCACUUUCUCCAUAGACAAGCAAGAGAAAUAUGAUGCAUUUUAUGGUAGUUUUAAUGAAACAUCUGCUAGUGGUCACACACACAGGACUCCUUUUGACACACAGCAGGAACAAACAAAAGGCAAACCAAAGCAAUGUGAUGCGAAGCAAAGCGAAACAAAGCGGUCAACAAAAAUUACGGCUACCCCGCUCCCCUUUCUCCACCUGACUGCAGGUAAGCCACAGCAUUCAUCCCGUGCCCCACGUGACCCAAACUACUGUAUCUGUGAGGUCUUUGUGUCUCUUUGAUGUUUUGAGUCGGAGGGGCUCACAGCUCAUUUAUGUUUCCUUUGUGCACGUUGAUGCAACCAGAGAAGACAGAAAUGCAUGCAUUCUGUUUUUCUCAUCAACUGUACCUAUAUUAACAUUUCGACUAUGUUAGUGCAUGAUUCAAUAGUCAUUAAACAAGUUAUUAAAAGAGUUUAAGAUGUUAUUUAGUGUUAUUAGUGAAGUUUAGAGGCACAUGUAUUGACUACGAUCUAGGGCUGGGCGAUAAAAUGAUAAUGAUAUAUAUCAAAAAUUUAUUUCCCACAAUAUCAAUAUAAAAUAUGGUCAAUAUGCUUUUCAAUGAUCGACAUUCUGCCAUGUUUUGGUAAACCAUACGAAUAGCCAAUGAAAAGGGGAGAUGCUCCAGAUCCGCUUCACGCUGAACCAAUCGUGCUGAAUUAGAAUCAAGUAGCAAAAAACUGCGUAGUAGCAGGCUGCAGCUACACCCAACCAUAGCACUUUAACACGUGAAGCCGACAGCACUGUCGGUGAGGAAAAAAAGAAAAUGAGUGCUACCCCCGGCAGAAAUGCAGAUGAAGGCUCAACAGAUGACGACAUCGGCGACAAAACUGGCAAGUACAUUUUUUGAGGUUGGACAUGAAGCAGAGUAAUGUGCACUGCAAGUUAUGUCAAGUACAUGUUCUCGCAAAGUCGGGGAGUACCCUAAAUCCUUUUCACCACCUGAAGCAGCGCCACGCGGCAGAGUGUGUUACAAACCCCGAGUGGAGCAAGGAGCCCAUGGCACCUGUGCAGCCGAAACAGCCAACCAUUCAGUCCGCUUUCUCUAACGCAACACCGUACAACAAAACGUCGAAGAGACACAAAGACCUCACAGAUGCAGUAGCUUUUUGUAUUGCAAAUUACAUGCUACCAAUAAGCACUGUUAAAUUUCACAAUUUUUAUCAUGAUAUAUAUCGAUAUUAACUGAUAUGAAAAAAAUUUAUCAUGAUAAACUUUUUCCCACAUCACCCGGCCCUACAAAGCAUACAGAAAUCACUACCCAGUCUGUUAUGGCUGUCGAGCAGGUGUGCAGUAGUUCAGUGUCUAUGUCAGUGAUGUGUAAAAUUUAUAGCUGGGCUACAACUACAGUCAUGAGUUACAUGCGAUAUAUGUUCAGAAAGCUCCUUGGCGGCCUCCGCCAUCUUGGCACUAGUUAAUACUGUAACAGUGACAUCUGAGGUCAAGGUAAGUGUGGAUGAGAGCCCUCUGCAGACGGAGUGAAUAGUGCUUUGUAGCAGUCAUCCUGUGACUCCACAGAAGCGGUCCAUGCUGCACACCUGUGGAAUCUCACAUCCAGGUACCAGCGGGACUGUCUGGGAAGGAAAUGCCAAAGUUUAGAGAGCAGUCAGAGAUCAGAG